UACGUAGGGGGCAAGCGUUGUCCGGAUUUAUUGGGCGUAAAGGGCACGCAGGCGGUCAGUCAAGUUUUGAGUGACAGGUGGUGGCUUAACUACCACAGGCUUUCAGAAAACUGUCUGACUUGAGGGCUUGAGAGGGACGCGGAAUUCCAGGUGGAGCGGUGAAAUGCGUAGAGAUCUGGAAGAACACCAAAGGCGAAAGGCAGCGUCCUGGCAAGUCACUGACGCUCAUGUGCGAAAGCUAGGGGAGCGAACGGG
rnacentral:rRNA from 1 species